AUCCGCCGGGCUACAGCCAGGAUGCCGGGAGCGCCCAGGGGAGGGGAACGCGUCCCGCCCAGCUGGCAGGCCCACACUGCUCCUUGGCAUGUGUGCCGGUGACUAAUGAGUGUUGCAAACUCCAGUGCGUCCCACACGGAGCUCCUGCUCCCACCAGCCAGCCCCGGGCCGAGCCGCUUCCCUCCAAGCUCGCCCUGACAGUCGCCCCAGGAGUCCUCCUGGGCCCCUCGCCCCCCACCUCCGCGCGUGCGCACACACACCUGCUGUCCGAGGUCUGGCGGCACCUGGUUCCCAUGGCAUCACUUUGAAGACUGUCUGAAAACAAAGCUCCCCCAAGACCCGAAGCCAGGCCCAUGGCAUACCUGGUUUAUCAGCGGGUGGAGUCAGCAAGUCCCGAAUUUGAGGGUCCUUAAUUCCUACUGCCCACCGGAGAUCAAGGGUCCUGAGAAGGGGGCAGCUGGAGGUGCUGAGAGCAGAGACUGCAGACCAGGAGCAGCCUGCUAGGAGGAGGUCUUUCAGCCCUGGCAAACAGCAGCAGAGGCGGUCAGUGACACCCUGGCGCACAAAGCCUAACCCGCCAGCCAUCGCCGCAGAGGAAAUGGGAGACAGGGCCGUGCUCUGAGCUCCCAGUAACCAGGCUCUAGGAUUCCUGUGCUGUGCUACACCGCAUCUUCCCGCUCUGGGAGUAAACCCACUGCUUAGCUGCUGUCACAACAAUGCAAAAGGGAGUGACUUCCCAUCUUUCCAAGAUCUUAAAUGCCGACGGGAACAGGGCUUUCCAAAGCGCAUGCCCAAGGCAGCCUCUGACUUGAGCUCCCUCUUGAGCGGUGACGCCGCAGCACCCGACCCCAUUUCGAUGGAGUCCAGUGCAGUGGCAGGCUCGGCGCUGUGGACGCCGUGGACACUGGCAGUCUGCAGAAAGGCAGCCCUGCCAACAACGCAGCUCCUAGAGCCGUCCCUGGGCCCAUGGAAGGACAGCAGCAGGGUCCCCACCUACCUGGCAGCCUAUUGACGAGCCACGUCAACUGCUUUUUGGAGAUGUUGGUCCAACUGAGGUCGAGGCUAACUGGUUGCCUCUUGAUGAUGCCACUGAGAGCUUGUGGUACGAUGGCCUUACACCUACUUAAGUCAAUUUUCGUCCAAAGUCUCUUGUCGCAGCACCUGGGACAAGGGAGCAAACCAGCUGUCACUAUAACUCGAUGCCCCUGUCAACAGAGUUCCCAACACAGCUGCUCAAGCAGCUAAGCACUGGAGGGUCAUUCUUCCUCUCCACAUUCUCCUGCAAGUAUGUAAGGACCACACCCUGUCGGUGUUUCAAUCAGAGAUGAGGUAGGCACUGUUGUCUCUACAGCGCUCAACACUCUGCAAACCUGUGUCAGGCAGUGUGUACAGAACUUGGCCAGGCACCGGUGCUGUGGCGUAGCCGAUAAAGCUGCUGCCUGUAGUGCCGGCAUCCCACACGGGUGCUGGUUCACGACCUGGCUGUUCCACUUCCGAUCCAGCUCUCUGCUGUGGCCUGGGAAAGCUGUGAAGAUGGCUCGAGUGCUUGGGCCCCUGCACCCACAUGGGAGACCCGGAAGCAGCUCCUGGCUCCAGACUGGCCCAGCUCUGGCCAUUGUGGCCAUUUGGAGAGUGAACCAGUGGAUGGAAGACCUCUCUCUACCUCUGCCUUUCAAAUAAAUAAAUCUUAAAAAAAAAAAAAAAAA